rnacentral:sRNA from 1 species
CUGCCUGCUAGGUCAUAAGGAUGAAGGCCAUGUGGCUGGGGUACUUAUGUCAAGUCCAGAAUGGGGCAGUGUCCCUCUCCUACCUCUCUGCGGAGACGCAAUUGAAGGUCAAGUAGACUCAGUGUAGGGCAGGCAGCUGUCAUGCUGCAAAGAAGUUUAGAGGAGUCUUUGGGUUGGGGAGGUGACAGGUAGGUAGGACAGGAUCUCUUAAGAUGGGAAAGAUACUGGGGAGAGGAGGGCUGCUUGGCCCCAGGGAACUGCAGUGAGGUGGAACUGAGCUCCGCUCCUGAAUCUCCAAAGGAGCCCAUGCUGCCCGGCUUCCCUGAGUCAUUUUUUCCAGCAUCCUGUCAGACCCCUCAAUGUACUGAUUUCCCCCUUGUGUUAACUAUACCGAUAUUAUUUUUUUAGCAAUUGAAAUGCACUUUUUUAUUUCAACUCAAUCAUGAUUUUAAGUAUAAAAAAUUUAUAGAUUGUUAAAACUACUUUUUUGUGUAUUUUUAACCACUCAAUGUAGCAUUGUAUAUUUUAUUCUUGUGAGACUCUGGUACAGGUGUGCCGCCUAAUGAUUUUUCUGAGAUGCUGGGCCUUUGGAUGUGUACGGUAACCAACUUAAUGCUAAUGUUCAAAGUAAAAAAAAAAAAAAAAAAAGGCAGCCAUA